rnacentral:rRNA from 1 species
CACGUAGGUAAUCUACCUUCGGGUGGGGAAUAACAACCGGAAACGGUUGCUAAUACCGCAUAAUGCAGCGGCACCUAAUGGUGACAGUUGUUAAAGCGGGGGAUCGAAAGACCUCGCGCCUGAAGAGGAGCCUGCGGCGGAUUAGCUUGUUGGCAGGGUAACGGCCUACCAAGGCGACGAUCCGUAGCCGGCCUGAGAGGGCGGUCGGCCACACUGACACUGACAUACGGGUCAG